UGAUAAAAUUUUAGCAAGUGUACUAAAACUAUCGAAGUAAUAAAAUAAAUUCGUAUCCACGAGGACUGUGUUAAUCUCAACUUAGCAAUAAAGUUAAUAUCUAGGAUGUGUAAAUUUUAUAAGUGUCUGAGGCAGUAGAUUAGGGUGCAAUAAAAAGUAAAUAAUAGGAAAUAAAAUGGUUUGAUGAUUGAAUUAAAACAGAUGAUCAAACCAGUGAAUCCUCUAUUGCUUUAUGUGAAAUAGCUUAUCUCUCUUUACUCUCAACACUUAUUCAAUCUUUACGACAAAUUAACUAAUUAGUUUUGAUCAAUCUCUUGACUCAAAACCCUUUCCUAAGUUAAAACCUUUUAAUCUCUUAAACCGAUUGAAUAACCGCGGAAGCGAUGUCAGAAUGUUAAUUCAUAUGUCAUAACCCUCAAUUUUCUAUCUCUAGGUUCCUAUGUUGAAUUAAACAGAAUUACUAUUUCAGGAUUAAAAGCUAGGGUUAGUAGUCAUUCAAUUCCUAAGAUCAAUUUAUGUGAUUGCAAGAAGCUAGGGUUAAUAGUCAUGCAAGCAAUCAUAUGAAAAGCAAUGAACACAAAUAAUUCUGAAUAAAGACUGAAUAAUAUUGAUAAUAAAGAGAGUUUCAACUACAUUCAUAUAUUACAAUAGGUUCAUCAUGGCUCAAUCAAAGAGAAUUAGCUAGACAUGAUUAAAUAAAUAAACAACAUAGUAAGAAAAUAAAUCGAUAGAGUUUCGUCGAUGUCGGCGUUGCUCCUCAAUCUUCUUUCAAUCUGUGUUGUUUUCUCUCUCCCCUGUAGCGUCCCUUUUCCAAAACGUAAAUCCUAUAUUUAUUUCUUCCAAAAGUGUGAUCACCUUUCCUUGUUCCUGUACGUUUUCUCCUAUAAGCCCAUCAAUUAAUAUGUUGCUUUUUGUCACCUCUUGUUUUUCUCUUCUUUGAUUAUAUAAAUAUAACCAAUAAUAAUGAUAAUAACCUAUUAAUUCCAAUCAUUUGCUUGCUUGACUCAAUAGACCAAAAAUACCAUACUUUAUUUAAAUUGACUCUAAAUUAAAUACUAAACUAAUAAAACUAGACUAAAAACUUAUUAAAAAAAAACUUUAAAAAUAGUGAAUGACUGACUGUCAUCACAACCCCAAACUUGAACCAUUCCUUGUCCUCAAGGAUUUACUUGUAACAUUGACAAUUGACAGUAAAAUAACAAUUACCUGAUCAAGCGAUAGUACCCAAAAGUUCAACACCUUACUAGCUAAAGAUGAGCUAGUUUGACUUGUUAGCAACCACCAAUUCACAACUCCACGCAACAAUAUGAAAGGGUUCACACACAGUCGACAUGCAAUCUACAUAUUACCAUACGCUUGAAAAGUUUCUAAACGUCAAUCAAAAUCAAUGUCAAUGCACACUUUGAGGUCUUUAACGGUUAUAACGGGGCUUAGGUGAAGGUGAGAUAAUAUUUGGAUAAGUAGGCUACACAAAAUUUGAGUUAGGCAUUCCUACGGAAGUUAAGCACAAAAUUCAAUCCAUCAUUCAUUCACCUUUUGGAACAACAAUUCUUGCAAGGGUACUAGAAAUUAUUUAUAACAAUCGGGACAAUCGAGUUUGAAGUUACUCGGUUUUUCAAUGUCAUGUCCCUUUUUCAUUCUAUUAUAUUCUCUUUUUUUUUUUUUUGAACACACCAUUUUGGCAUAUUGUUUUCAUGAGAAUGUUUUUUUUUUCUUUGUUCUCUAGUACCCCACCCCAAACUUAAUUGGUUGCAAAUUCCAUUAGCAACCCCAAACUUAAUAUUUAGCAACAUUCUUCAAUGCCUAACUCAGAAAAACAAUAAGGGAUAAAUCCUAAAAGUCUCCAAGCUUGUAAUGUAGUUUGUCACCGAACAAAAAGUUCUAAACCUACCGGCUCAAUUUGGCUAAAGAAAGGAUAAUUAUUCAAAUAUAAACAGGGUAGGCUUCAAAAAGGCUCACAGGACCAAGCACUUUUGCCUCAGUGUGCUAAUGACAAAGAUCAAUCGACAGUAGAGAAAAAUUGCAAGUUCUAGAAAUGUAAAUGCAUGGAACACUCUUUAGAAGUAAAUUAGAAAAUAAAAUUUGGCCAUGAACCUUACAGUUUAGAUUUCUGGGAGUUGUGACUACCUAUCCUUAACUGCAGUACACUUCGCCUUUGAAAUCACAAGUCACUCCUCCUUUUGAACUUUUGGAAUACCACUUGAACACAUAUUUGUUACUAAACUGGAAAAAGUCAAUAAAACAAGAAAAUUCAUCAAUAAUAAACAAGUGCAAGAACAAUUACAUAACAGGGGGAUACAACUGAGUUAUUCAAACACACUGACAAUUGCCUGACUCAACAAUAGGAAUAAAAUACUGAAAAUAAAAACAUAAUAAAAAUGAUGGGUUGCCUCCCAUCAAGCGCUUUAUUUUACGUCAUUGAGCUUGACGCUCCAACCACUGUUAGGGUGGCAAAUAUGAUAGAAAGAAUAUAUCAUCCUUCUUCUUCCUCUUGUUUGGUAGGAAUUCCAUGAAUUUGGCACAAAGCAGUAGAUGCUCCCAUGCUCCAGCCACUAAAUCUUUGUCAUUUGAGCUCUCCCACCUUAAAGAAGGACAUGCAUCUAUUUGCACAAGAGUGAUUUCCUUAACCCCCGUUGAUCCAGACUUCGAGAAAAUAUCAACACUCCUCACUUUGGAAUUUUCUUCUACCACAACCUUGUGACACACAGUCUCCAUCUGAACCAACUUCCUCUGAGACUCAUGUGCUUUCUCAACAAGAUUACCACACUGAACAUCAAACUUCUCAAAUAAAACUUGAUUUGACACCAAGAAAUCAUCUAAAAUAUUUUGAAGUUGAGUAUUGUAACCGAUGUUGAUCAUCUCUUUCUUCUCUUCACAAUUACUACCUGGUUGAUCCCCCUCAUAACGACCACAUCUCUCAUUUAAUCUUGAGAUUUUAUUGUCAAAAUAUCCUAUCUUCAAAGAUAGCAUAUAUUUUUCAUACUUCAACAUACCAAUCUCUUUUGUGUCAUGGAGGUAUAACCUGUCUAUCAUAGCUGCAACACUUGAAUAAACUUUUUAGUAGCACAGUACAAUGAGAAGAAAAAGAAGAGCAUAAAUCAUUUUUUUUUUAUAAACAAAAAUAUAAAUGACAGAAAUCCUAAAUAAAAACAAAAUUACCAAAUUGAAAUGACUCAACAGUCCCCGGCAGCAGCGCCAAAAACUUGAUAAAAUUUUAGCAAGUGUACUAAAACUAUCGAAGUAAUAAAAUAAAUUCGUAUCCACGAGGACUGUGUUAAUCUCAACUUAGCAAUAAAGUUAAUAUCUAGGAUGUGUAAAUUUUAUAAGUGUCUGAGGCAGUAGAUUAGGGUGCAAUAAAAAGUAAAUAAUAGGAAAUAAAAUGGUUUGAUGAUUGGAUUAAAACAGAUGAUCAAGCCAGUGAAUCCUCUAUUGCUUUAUGUGAAAUAGCUUAUCUCUCUUUACUCUCAACACUUAUUCAAUCUUUACGACAAAUUAACUAAUUAGUUUUGAUCAAUCUCUUGACUCAAAACCCUUUCCUAAGUUAAAACAUUUUAAUCUCUUAAACCGAUUGAAUAACCGCGGAAGCGAUGUCAGAAUGUUAAUUCAUAUGUCAUAACCCUCAAUUUCCUAUCUCUAGGUUCCUAUGUUGAAUUAAACAGAAUUACUAUUUCAGGAUUAAAAGCUAGGGUUAGUAGUCAUUCAAUUCCUAAGAUCAAUUUAUGUGAUUGCAAGAAGCUAGGGUUAAUAGUCAUGCAAGCAAUCAUAUGAAAAACAAUGAACACAAAUAAUUCUGAAUAAAGACUGAAUAAUAUUGAUAAUAAAGAGAGUUUCAACUACAUUCAUAUAUUACAAUAGGUUCAUCAUGGCUCAAUCAAAGAGAAUUAGCUAGACAUGAUUAAAUAAAUAAACAACAUAGUAAGAAAAUAAACCGAUAGAGUUUCGUCGAUGUCGGCGUUGCUCCUCAAUCUUCUUUCAAUCUGUGUUGUUUUCUCUCCCCUGUAGCGUCCCUUUUCCAAAACGUAAAUCCUAUAUUUAUUUCUUCCAAAAGUGUGAUCACCUUUCCUUGUUCCUGUACGUUUUCUCCUAUAAGCCCAUCAAUUAAUAUGUUGCUUUUUGUCACCUCUUGUUUUUCUCUUCUUUGAUUAUAUAAAUAUAACCAAUAAUAAUGAUAAUAACCUAUUAAUUCCAAUCAUUUGCUUGCUUGACUCAAUAGACCAAAAAUACCAUACUUUAUUUAAAUUGACUCUAAAUUAAAUACUAAACUAAUAAAACUAGACUAAAAACUUAUUAAAAAAAAACUUUAAAAAUAGUGAAUGACUGACUGUCA
rnacentral:lncRNA from 1 species